CUACGGGGGGCACCAGCGGAACUUUUACAAUGCACGAAAGUGUGAUAAAGCGAGCCAAAGUGUUUUUCGUUUAGAAAAACUUUUUCUUAGUGUAAAAACCUAGGAGAAUAAGGACUGGGAAAGACCGGUGCCAGCCGCCGCGGUAAUACCGGCAGUUCAAGUUGCAUCCAUUUUUAUUGGGUCUAAAACAUCCGUAGCUUGCCAUUUAAGUUUCUUGUGAAAUCUCACGUCUCAAGCGUGAUGAAGUGCAGGAAAUACUGGGUGGCUAGAGAUCGGUAGACGUAAGGAGUACGCCGGAGGUAGUGGUAAAAUACGUUAAUCUUCGGUGGACUAACAAUCAGCGAAGGCACCUUACGAGGACGAAUCUGACAGUGAGGGAUGAAGGCCAGGGGCGCAAAACGGAUUAGAUACCCCAGUAGUC
rnacentral:rRNA from 1 species